GCAAACUUGGUCAUUUAGAGGAAGUAAAAGUCGUAACAAGGUUUCCGUAGGUGAACCUGCGGAAGGAUCAUUAAAAUUUUGGGUUUUAACGGACCCUCAAAUCUGAACUUGAGGUAAUAAAUGGGUAUAACCGGACUUUAGGUUUAAAAAUGAUAGGCUUAUUGAUGGGAUUUCUCUAGGCAUCUAAAGAGAGAGUAAUUUUCUUUUUAGGUCGGGUUUGGAUGCCAAGCCAUUAAAUUGGAUUCUUGUCAUAUAUCCAAAGCUGUUAUCCGAGGUUGAAGCUUGAUUUGAGUCAACCUAGGACGCGUAGAGAGGUACUUGUAGACUGUCGACCUGAAGAUUCGAAAAAAAAAACUCCUUUUUAAUUUUUGACUGAAAAUUUAUCAAGUUUGAAUCCAAUUUUUGGGUUUAAAAAAAGUUUUAAAUAACUUUCAACAACGGAUCUCUUGGUUCUCGCAUCGAUGAAGAACGCAGC
rnacentral:misc_RNA from 1 species